GCCUGGAUUGCUCAGUUGGUUAGAGCAUGGUGCUGAUAAAACCAAGGUUGCAGGUUCGAUUCCCGUAAGGGGCA
rnacentral:tRNA from 1 species